rnacentral:rRNA from 1 species
UUUGGUUAAGUUAGAAAGGGCGCACGGUGGAUGCCUUGACACUAGGAGUCGAUGAAGGACGGGACUAACGCCGAUAUGCUUCGGGGAGCUGUAAGUAAGCUUUGAUCCGAAGAUUUCCGAAUGGGGAAACCCACCAUACGUAAUGGUAUGGUAUCCUUAUCUGAAUACAUAGGGUAAGGAAGACAGACCCAGGGAACUGAAACAUCUAAGUACCUGGAGGAAGAGAAAGCAAAUGCGAUUUCCUGAGUAGCGGCGAGCGAAACGGAACAUAGCCCAAACCAAGAGGCUUGCCUCUUGGGGUUGUAGGACAUUCUAUACGGAGUUACAAAGGAACGAGGUAGACGAAGCGACCUGGAAAGGUCCGUCGUAGAGGGUAACAACCCCGUAGUCGAAACUUCGUUCUCUCUUGAAUGUAUCCCUGAGUACGGCGGAACACGUGAAAUUCCGUCGGAAUCUGGGAGGACCAUCUCCCAAGGCUAAAUACUCCCUAGUGAUCGAUAGUGAACCAGUACCGUGGAGGGAAAGGUGAAAAGCACCCCGGAAGGGGAGUGAAAGAGAUCCUGAAACCGUGUGCCUACAAAUAGUCAGAGCCCGUUAAUGGGUGAUGGCGUGCCUUUUGUAGAAUGAACCGGCGAGUUACGAUCCCGUGCGAGGUUAAGCUGAAGAGGCGGAGCCGCAGCGAAAGCGAGUCUGAAUAGGGCGUUUAGUACGUGGUCGUAGACCCGAAACCAGGUGAUCUACCCAUGUCCAGGGUGAAGUUCAGGUAACACUGAAUGGAGGCCCGAACCCACGCACGUUGAAAAGUGCGGGGAUGAGGUGUGGGUAGCGGAGAAAUUCCAAUCGAACCUGGAGAUAGCUGGUUCUCCCCGAAAUAGCUUUAGGGCUAGCCUUAAGUGUAAGAGUCUUGGAGGUAGAGCACUGAUUGGACUAGGGGUCCUCAUCGGAUUACCGAAUUCAGUCAAACUCCGAAUGCCAAUGACUUAUCCUUAGGAGUCAGACUGCGAGUGAUAAGAUCCGUAGUCAAAAGGGAAACAGCCCAGACCGCCAGCUAAGGUCCCAAAGUGUGUAUUAAGUGGAAAAGGAUGUGGAGUUGCUUAGACAACUAGGAUGUUGGCUUAGAAGCAGCCACCAUUUAAAGAGUGCGUAAUAGCUCACUAGUCGAGUGACUCUGCGCCGAAAAUGUACCGGGGCUAAAUACACCACCGAAGCUGCGGAUUGAUACCAAUGGUAUCAGUGGUAGGGGAGCGUUCUAAGGACAGUGAAGUCAGACCGGAAGGACUGGUGGAGUGCUUAGAAGUGAGAAUGCCGGUAUGAGUAGCGAAAGACGGGUGAGAAUCCCGUCCACCGAAUGCCUAAGGUUUCCUGAGGAAGGCUCGUCCGCUCAGGGUUAGUCAGGACCUAAGCCGAGGCCGACAGGCGUAGGCGAUGGACAACAGGUUGAUAUUCCUGUACCACCUCUUUAUCGUUUGAGCAAUGGAGGGACGCAGAAGGAUAGAAGAAGCGUGCGAUUGGUUGUGCACGUCCAAGCAGUUAGGCUGAUAAGUAGGCAAAUCCGCUUAUCGUGAAGGCUGAGCUGUGAUGGGGAAGCUCCUUAUGGAGCGAAGUCUUUGAUUCCCCGCUGCCAAGAAAAGCUUCUAGCGAGAUAAAAGGUGCCUGUACCGCAAACCGACACAGGUAGGCGAGGAGAGAAUCCUAAGGUGUGCGAGAGAACUCUGGUUAAGGAACUCGGCAAAAUGACCCCGUAACUUCGGGAGAAGGGGUGCUUUCUUAACGGAAAGCCGCAGUGAAUAGGCCCAAGCGACUGUUUAGCAAAAACACAGCUCUCUGCGAAGCCGUAAGGCGAAGUAUAGGGGGUGACACCUGCCCGGUGCUGGAAGGUUAAGGAGAGGGGUUAGCGUAAGCGAAGCUCUGAACUGAAGCCCCAGUAAACGGCGGCCGUAACUAUAACGGUCCUAAGGUAGCGAAAUUCCUUGUCGGGUAAGUUCCGACCCGCACGAAAGGUGUAACGAUUUGGGCACUGUCUCAACCAGAGACUCGGUGAAAUUAUAGUACCUGUGAAGAUGCAGGUUACCCGCGACAGGACGGAAAGACCCCGUGGAGCUUUACUGUAGCCUGAUAUUGAAUUUUGGUACAGUUUGUACAGGAUAGGCGGGAGCCUUUGAAACCGGAGCGCUAGCUUCGGUGGAGGCGCUGGUGGGAUACCGCCCUGACUGUAUUGAAAUUCUAACCUACGGGUCUUAUCGACCCGGGAGACAGUGUCAGGUGGGCAGUUUGACUGGGGCGGUCGCCUCCUAAAGUGUAACGGAGGCGCCCAAAGGUUCCCUCAGAAUGGUUGGAAAUCAUUCGUAGAGUGCAAAGGCAUAAGGGAGCUUGACUGCGAGACCUACAAGUCGAGCAGGGACGAAAGUCGGGCUUAGUGAUCCGGUGGUUCCGCAUGGAAGGGCCAUCGCUCAACGGAUAAAAGCUACCCCGGGGAUAACAGGCUUAUCUCCCCCAAGAGUCCACAUCGACGGGGAGGUUUGGCACCUCGAUGUCGGCUCAUCGCAUCCUGGGGCUGUAGUCGGUCCCAAGGGUUGGGCUGUUCGCCCAUUAAAGCGGUACGCGAGCUGGGUUCAGAACGUCGUGAGACAGUUCGGUCCCUAUCCGUCGUGGGCGUAGGAAAUUUGAGAGGAGCUGUCCUUAGUACGAGAGGACCGGGAUGGACGCACCGCUGGUGUACCAGUUGUUCUGCCAAGGGCAUAGCUGGGUAGCUAUGUGCGGAAGGGAUAAGUGCUGAAAGCAUCUAAGCAUGAAGCCCCCCUCAAGAUGAGAUUUCCCAUAGCGUAAGCUAGUAAGAUCCCUGAAAGAUGAUCAGGUUGAUAGGUUCGAGGUGGAAGCAUGGUGACAUGUGGAGCUGACGAAUACUAAUAGAUCGAGGACUUAACCAUAUAA